rnacentral:rRNA from 1 species
UACGUAGGCAGCGAGCGUUGUUCGGAGUUACUGGGCGUAAAGGGUGUGUAGGCGGCCUCUUAAGUUUGGUGUGAAAUCUCCCGGCUCAACCGGGAGGGUGCGCCGAAUACUGAGGGGCUCGAGUGCGGGAGAGGAAAGUGGAAUUCCUGGUGUAGCGGUGAAAUGCGUAGAUAUCAGGAGGAACACCGGUGGUGUAGACGGCUUUCUGGACCAGUACUGACGCUCAUGCACGAAAGCGUGGGGAGCAAACAGG